rnacentral:rRNA from 1 species
AUUGAACGCUGGCGGCAGGCCUAACACAUGCAAGUCGAGCGGAGCGGCGGACGGGUGAGUAAUGCCUAUGAAUCUGCCUGGUCGUGGGGGAUGCCGUCCGGAAACGGACGCUAGUACCGCAUACUAUCAGAUGAGCCUAGGUCGGGUUGGCUAUUUGGUGGGGUAAGGGCCCACCAAGGCGACGAUCCGUAACUGGUCGUAGAGGAUGAGCAGUCAAACUGGAACGGAGAGACGGUGCAGACUCCUAGGGGAGGCAGCAGUGGGUAAUAUUGGAUAAUGGGCGAAAGCCUGAUCCAGCCAUGCCGCGUGUGUGAAGAAGGUCUUCGGAGUGUAAAGCACUUUAAGUUGGGAGGCGUUACCAACAGAAUAAGCACCGGCUAACGUCGCGCCAGCCGCGGUAAUAC